rnacentral:tRNA from 1 species
GUCUCCGUAGCAUAGUGGUUAGUGCACAGCCCCGGAAAGGUUGAAACGCAGGUUCGAAUCCCGCCUGGGAUG